CAGCAGCCGCGGUAAUACGGAGGGUGCAAGCGUUAAUCGGAAUUACUGGGCGUAAAGCGCACGCAGGCGGUCUGACAAGUCAGAUGUGAAAUCCCCGGGCUUAACCUGGGAACUGCAUUUGAAACUGUCAGACUGGAGUCUUGUAGAGGGGGGUGGAAUUCCAGGUGUAGCGGUGAAAUGCGUAGAGAUCUGGAGGAAUACCGGUGGCGAAGGCGGCCCCCUGGACAAAGACUGACGCUCAGGUGCGAAAGCGUGGGGAGCAAACAGGAUUAGAUACCCGCGUAGUCCCUGUCUCUUAUAC
rnacentral:rRNA from 1 species